AGAGUUUGAUCAUGGCUCAGGACGAACGCUGGCGGCGUGCUUAACACAUGCAAGUCACGGGGGUCCGGGGGCAACUCCGGAUAACCGGCGAACGGGUGCGUAACACGUGAACAACUUGCCCUCGUGUGGGGGAUAGCCGGGCUAACGCCCGGGUAAUACCGCAUACGUUCCUCUGGGGGAGUCCCCGGGGGAGGAAAGCUCCGGCGCACGGGGAGGGGUUCGCGGCCUAUCAGCUAGUUGGCGGGGUAACGGCCCACCAAGGCGACGACGGGUAGCUGGUCUGAGAGGAUGGCCAGCCACAUUGGGACUGAGAGACGGCCCAGACUCCUACGGGAGGCAGCAGUGGGGAAUCUUGCGCAAUGGUCUAACGACUGACGCAGCGACGCCGCGUGUGGGAGGACGCCUUCCGGGGUGUAAACCACUGUUGCCCGGGACGAACACCUCUUUUCGAAGAGGCUGACGGUACCGGGUGAGGAAGCACCGGCUAACUCCGUGCCAGCAGCCGCGGUAAUAC
rnacentral:rRNA from 1 species